rnacentral:lncRNA from 1 species
AAACAGUUCUCAUUUUGUGUGCUCGGCUGACUGCACGUCCAGCCUCGGGCCAGCUCGAGACGGCCACAUUGCCUGGUUGAAGAUGGCUGAGCGUAAAACAGAAUGCAAGUCAGCUGGAGCACGUACUACUGGAGGCAGAGCCCCAUGAGAAGGGGCCAAGAACCCGCACCCAUCAAAAUCAAGAAGAAAGGCUGAACCCGGAGAGAAAAGGGAGCAACUGAUGUUGCCAUGCAGAUCCCUUGGUUGCUAUGAGAUGGUAACAUCACUCUGCCCCACCAUUGGCCAGUGCCUCCUCAGCUGCGGUGCCUCCCAGGCUGUGUGGUUCUCACGCGGGCCACUGACACAGAGCUGUUACUAUGGUGAACUUUACAAUUUCCUUUGAUUGGUGGAUUUCAGAAAUAGGCCAUCAGCGGAAUUCAUUAUAUUCAGCUAACCUGGCUCAGCUUCUCAGCUUCUCAGGUGGAUUGGUGAGUCCUGGCCAAUUACGCUUCAGCUCAUCUCUACUCUCAGCAAAUAGGAAAAGGGAGUGAAGGACUGAGUUUUAACUCUUCUAAUUUCGUAACCUGACUCUCUAUAAGAAAAAGUAGGAGAAAGACUGAAGAACCCGAGAGAACAGGCCUCUGAGCCCAAGCCAAGCCAUCGCAUCCCCUGUGACUUGCACGUAUACACCCAGAUGGCCUGAAGUAACUGAAGAAUCACAAAAGAAGUGAAUA